GAGGAAAGUCCGGGCUCUAUUUAUAAAUAUAUAGCUUUAUAAAAUAAAGUGUAGGUAACUAUAAGGAUCGUGCCACAGAAAUAUACCGCCUGAUUUUUAUAGGUAAGGGUGCAAUGGUUCGGUAAGAGCGUACCAGAAAUAUUGUUAAAGUAUUUGCUAGGUAAACCCAGUAUUAGAGCAAAGAAGUUAUCAUAGGUAUAUUAGUACUAUUUUUAUAAGUUUUAUAUCUUUUUUAUUUCAUUAGUACCGCAUAAAGUAAUUAAUUUUACUUAAGAUUAAUAAUUACCCUUUUCAUAUUGAGUGAAUUUAAUUGGAUUGUUGAAAAGAACUAAACCCGGCUUAU
rnacentral:RNase_P_RNA from 1 species